UACGAAGGGGGCUAGCGUUGUUCGGAAUUACUGGGCGUAAAGCGUGCGCAGGCGGCUUCUCAAGUCAGGGGUGAAAGGCCCAGAGCUCAACUCUGGAAUUGCCUUUGAGACUGAGUGGCUUGAGUACGAGAGAGGUGAGUGGAAUUCCCAGUGUAGAGGUGAAAUUCGUAGAUAUUGGGAAGAACACCGGUGGCGAAGGCGGCUCACUGGCUCGUAACUGACGCUCAUGCACGACAGCGUGGGGAUCAAACAGG
rnacentral:rRNA from 1 species